GAGCAAAAACGGCUAGGAUCCCUGAAACACAGCCCGUAUAAGGCUCGUCAAGAAAGCAAGAAAUUAAGUAUUGACUUCACAGUGAGGAAGAUGAAAUUCCGAACUCCUGAGCCCGUCACACAGAUAGCGCAAAAGCUGUAGCGCAAAAGCCUAAGCAAAGAACAAAAAUCCGAGCUCCUUAAUCCGCUGAAUGGACGGACUCACGACAAAAGCAAG
rnacentral:lncRNA from 1 species